AUACUUACCUUGUUUCGAAUUCCCCAGCUCAAGAUUCGGGGGAUUCAGUGAGGGAGGCCUGCAUUGCACAUCGCGGAGUCGUUCUCUCACUCCAUUGUCCUUCGGGGCCAUGGGAGGCGUAAUUUUUGAUCUC
rnacentral:snRNA from 17 species